AAAGCUUGCUUUUUACGGACGUCGACCGGCGCACGGGUGAGUAUCGCGUAUCCAACCUGCCCUUUACUUGGGAUAACCCGUUGAAAGACGGACUAAUACCCAAUAUAAUCCUUUGAUGGCAUCUAACUAGGAUUAAAGGUUUAGCGGUAAGGGAUGGGGAUGCGUCUGAUUAGGCAGUUGGCGGGGUAACGGCCCACCAAACCGACGAUCAGUAGGGGUUCUGAGAGGAAGGUCCCCCACAUUGGAACUGAGACACGGUCCAAACUCCUACGGGAGGCAGCAGCC
rnacentral:rRNA from 1 species